CACCAAGGUGCAUGGUGCUCGCAAGCGACGAACGAAGGCUAUUCGACAUCGGCUACACAAACCACCAUUGAGCUCCAGGUCUAUGGAAUUUGAAGUUCGAAGCUGUAUAGCCCUACUCAGCAAAGAGUUGUCUCUAUGUUUGACUGUAAUAGACUGUAAAUAAUGUAAUAUUGUAACAGUAGGCAUAUUGGGGUUGUAAUAGACUAUCUACAGAUUGUAGUAGAUGUAGUGUUACUUGAUGAACAAUCUGAUGAGUGAGAACAAUUUAAGAUGCACCUUUGUAAUAUUGUAACAGAUUGUAAAAGACUAGUGUAUGUUUGAAAUAGUGAUUAUGUAUGUUGAAAA